UACGGAGGGUGCAAGCAUUAAUCGGAUUUAUUGGGCGUAAAGGGCGUGUAGGCGGGUUAGUAAGUCGAAUGUGAAAUCUCCGGGCUUAACCCGGAAAGGUCAGCCGAUACUGCGGGGCUAGAGUGCAGAAGGGGCAACUGGAAUUCUCGGUGUAGCGGUGAAAUGCGUAGAUAUCGAGAGGAACACCUGCGGCGAAGGCGGGUUGUUGGGCUGACACUGACGCUGAGGCGCGAAAGCUAGGGGAGCGAACGGG
rnacentral:rRNA from 1 species